rnacentral:rRNA from 1 species
GGGUUGUGAGGUUAAGCGACUAAGCGUACACGGUGGAUGCCCUGGCAGUCAGAGGCGAUGAAGGGCGUGCUAAUCUGCGAUAAGCGCCGGUAAGGUGAUAUGAACCGUUAUAACCGGCGAUACCCGAAUGGGGAAACCCAGUGUGAUUCGUCACACUAUCAUUAACUGAAUCCAUAGGUUAAUGAGGCGAACCGGGGGAACUGAAACAUCUAAGUACCCCGAGGAAAAGAAAUCAACCGAGAUUCCCCCAGUAGCGGCGAGCGAACGGGGAGGAGCCCAGAGCCUGAAUCAGCAUGUGUGUUAGUGGAAGCGUCUGGAAAGGCGCGCGAUACAGGGUGACAGCCCCGUACACAAAAGCGCAUGUGCUGUGAGCUCGAUGAGUAGGGCGGGACACGUGGUAUCCUGUCUGAAUAUGGGGGGACCAUCCUCCAAGGCUAAAUACUCCUGACUGACCGAUAGUGAACCAGUACCGUGAGGGAAAGGCGAAAAGAACCCCGGCGAGGGGAGUGAAAAAGAACCUGAAACCGUGUACGUACAAGCAGUGGGAGCACCCUUCGGGGUGUGACUGCGUACCUUUUGUAUAAUGGGUCAGCGACUUAUAUUCUGUAGCAAGGUUAACCGAAUAGGGGAGCCGGAGGGAAACCGAGUCUUAAUUGGGCGUUAAGUUGCAGGGUAUAGACCCGAAACCCGGUGAUCUAGCCAUGGGCAGGUUGAAGGUUGGGUAACACUAACUGGAGGACCGAACCGACUAAUGUUGAAAAAUUAGCGGAUGACCUGUGGCUGGGGGUGAAAGGCCAAUCAAACCGGGAGAUAGCUGGUUCUCCCCGAAAGCUAUUUAGGUAGCGCCUCGUGAAUUCAUCUCCGGGGGUAGAGCACUGUUUCGGCUAGGGGGCCAUCCCGGCUUACCAACCCGAUGCAAACUGCGAAUACCGGAGAAUGUUAUCACGGGAGACACACGGCGGGUGCUAACGUCCGUCGUGAAGAGGGAAACAACCCAGACCGCCAGCUAAGGUCCCAAAGUCAUGGUUAAGUGGGAAACGAUGUGGGAAGGCCCAGACAGCCAGGAUGUUGGCUUAGAAGCAGCCAUCAUUUAAAGAAAGCGUAAUAGCUCACUGGUCGAGUCGGCCUGCGCGGAAGAUGUAACGGGGCUAAACCAUGCACCGAAGCUGCGGCAGCGACACUGUGUGUUGUUGGGUAGGGGAGCGUUCUGUAAGCCUGCGAAGGUGGCCUGUGAGGGUUGCUGGAGGUAUCAGAAGUGCGAAUGCUGACAUAAGUAACGAUAAAGCGGGUGAAAAGCCCGCUCGCCGGAAGACCAAGGGUUCCUGUCCAACGUUAAUCGGGGCAGGGUGAGUCGACCCCUAAGGCGAGGCCGAAAGGCGUAGUCGAUGGGAAACGGGUUAAUAUUCCCGUACUUGGUGUUACUGCGAAGGGGGGACGGAGAAGGCUAUGUUGGCCGGGCGACGGUU